rnacentral:RNase_P_RNA from 1 species
AAGAGUUGGUGCUGCGGUUGCGGGCUAGGCUUGACCUAGUCUGAGGAAAGUCCGGGCUCCUGAAAGGUCAGGCUUGCUGGGUAACGCCCAGUGCGGGUGACCGUGAGGAUAGUGCCACAGAAACAUACCGCCGAUGGAUCGGGCAGCUCUAGGGUUGACUCUGAACCAGGUAAGGGUGCAAAGGUGCGGUAAGAGCGCACCAGCAGCAUCGAGAGGUGCUGGCUCGGUAAACCCCGGCCAGGAGCAAGGUCGCAGGGGUCAGGGUUGACCUUUUUCCAGCCCCGCUUUUGGUGUACCGCUCGAGGCAACUGGUAACAGUUGUCCCAGAUAGAUAACCGCCCGUUGGUGCAAGCGCCAGCGAGAACAGAACCCGGCUUACGGCCGACUCUUUCCA